CUUCAUUUGGUCACACUUUUUCGACCCGCUUUCCUUAGUCGUGGGCGGAUGCCUUUGUUUAGCUGGGGAGCGGAUUGGAUGGGGUUGACCGAGAUGGCUAGAAACGGCGAAGUGAAGGGGGCUCCUCACCGGUGAUUAGCGGCAAGGCCGGCCGGGCGGAGAUGGCGGGCGACGAGCCUCCUGCGGCGAGAAGGCGUGCUUCACUGGGACGGUUAUAGGGGGGGAUGUUGGUCUGGAGAGGAGCUCGACGAACCUUUCCCAUCGUGCUCGCCAUCAAAAAGCUCACGUCUGUAGCGAAGCUUAUAGUCGCCGGCGCGGGCGCAAGAUCACUCCAUGUAAUGCAAGGAUUGGAGGCAAUUUGUGCUUUCAGGUAACAGAGCGGCCCACAUAUGUUGUUGAGCUGAAGAAAGGGCUCACAUCCAUGGCGAUAACCGGGAGAGCUUCACUGGGGUACGAGCUUUAAGAGGGAUAUUUGGUUCAUUUCAACAUGGAUGGCUUGGUGCCAGCGAGGUUGACGAAGCCAUGGACUCUGCCGUGUUCACUAAGUCCAUUGACAUGAACGAACAUGAGCUUUUCAAGCUUUUUGUCCUUUUGACGUUCAGUCUUGUUACGUGAGGGUGCCUUUUGUUCACCGCAUGACCAAGACUAACAUCGAUCAAUAGACGAUGUACAUCAUCCCUUUGUCAGAUUAUUUUGUUCAUUUUUCCUUCAUUAUUUGUAGUAAAUUUAUUUUGUAUUUAGCUUUUAUAUGUCUCCAUACGUAAAGUUAAAUAAAUCCGUUUAUCUCAUUUUUCAUGUGUUUUAUACGUCCUUACACAAGCAGCUAUAUAUAGUCAUCCUACUUUCGAAUUCAUCA